rnacentral:tRNA from 2 species
GCACCCGUAGCUCAGUUGGAUAGAGUACUUGACUACGAAUCAAGGGGUCGGGAGUUCGAAUCUUCCCGGGUGCACCA